rnacentral:lncRNA from 1 species
GGCUUCCCAGGCCCUCCACAGCCACUGCCCAACGAGGACAGCCAGGGGAGACAGGCAGCCACACUCCUGUGCCCCCGGCCCGGGGAACAGGGGAGAGUGUGCUUGUGGGUUCACAUGCCCUCCAGGGAUUUACGCGUUCCACCGCUGAGGGACAGCUGACUUCCCCAGAUUUGGGCUGUUCGAAACGACCCUGAGGGGAGUUUCUCCCAUCGACACCCGCACCAGCAAUGCGAGCUCUUGUUGCUUCCCCUCCUCCCCGACACAUGGUAUUUUCAGGCUCAUUAAAUUAUUAAUCUUAAUGUUUCGUUGGAUGA